rnacentral:lncRNA from 1 species
AAGGAAGAAGAUGGAUUGUUCCCACAGCUCCUAGCUCGCCUCCAAGAGCUCCCAAGGAGAGGAAUCGUGUCUGGGCAACAGAAGAUCCAAAGCUCUUCGUGUUUUAAUCUUAAAAAGACCUAUUUUUGCCACAUCAGCGUCGCCACCGCUCAGCUGCACCCUAGCGGCAACCUUCCAAAGAGCAGGGUACUCAGCUGAACCCCAACGGCACCCUAGUGGCAGCAUUCCAGAAUUCACCUUUUUUGCUGUUUUUCUUGCUUUCUUUGGGUUCCAGCGCCUUCAUUUGAUGCAUAGACUUCUUC